CCUCUAUUUCUUGGCACUCAGGGCGUUCUCUGUACCCCUGAGUGUAAUGUACGGAGGUAGAUCAUAGUCCCCGGUGCUAUGUCUUCGGUGCCAGCUCUGUCUGUGAGCUGGUUCUAUCCUCAAUCGCUGGGACAAGC